CUACCAAUAUGACUUUAAUAGGUCCCUCUGCAUGGCAUGGACGGCAGAAUACCCUCUCUUAGUUGAAAAUGUUAAGCCACCAGAUGGAAUCACAGUCUAUAGAGGUAAUUACACUUGUUAUGCCAUGUAUGACGGGAUUGGUAAAUUCAUGGGUAAUUUUUCUAAAGGUUAUUGUGCCACUUACAGAACUGUUCCUAUACGCCUGUUGCAACACCAUACCAGGUCAUUGGGGGAUAUUUACUGGUUAUGUGGGGAUCUACAGUUAAGAUCUAGGCUGGAAACUGAGUGGUGGGGUGAGUGUACCCUAGCCAAAGUUAUCAUGCCC
rnacentral:lncRNA from 1 species